rnacentral:lncRNA from 1 species
GGGAACAUCUUGCCCUCAACAGCAGGGAAUAGGUCUAAGAAAAUUCAUAUAAAUGCAUAAUCUUCAUAGUAUUACUUAGAUCAGCAAAACGGGAACACCAUUGGAGGUGCUCAAAAGGCGUGUGGCUGAAAUUGAGUGGAGAGGGAUGCAGGAUGGCGCAGGAAGAUGGUGAGAACUCAGCUGUGAGGAAGGCGCAGAACAUGGGCUGCGGGAAGGCGUGCAGAGUGAGAGAACUCAGGUGUGAGGAAGGCACAGAACACGGGCUGCGGGAAUGUGCAGAGUGAGCAGGAUUCACUCUGGACAGA